rnacentral:rRNA from 1 species
UGCCACCGAAUACAUUAGCAUGGGAUAAUGGAAUAGGACCCUGACCUCCUAUUUUCAGUUGGUUUUGUUUACAGCGAGGUUAUAUCAGGGUAAUGAUUAAUAGGGAUAGUUGGGGGCAUUAAUAUUUAAUUGUCAGAGGUGAAAUUCUUGGAUUUAUGAAAGAUUAACUUCUGCGAAAGCGUUUGCCAAGGAUGUUUUCAUUAAUCAAGAACGAAAGUUAGGGGAUCGAAGACGAUCAGAUACCGUCGUAGUCUUAACCAUAAACGAUGCCGACCAGCGAUUAGGAGACGUUGAAUACAAAACACCGCUGUUAAUCCUUUCGGGGGUUAAUAGUUGGUGAAUGACUCCCUAGCAGCUUGUGAGAA